UGGGGAAUCUUCCGCAAUGGACGAAAGUCUGACGGAGCAACGCCGCGUGAGUGAUGACGGCCUUCGGGUUGUAAAGCUCUGUUAAUCGGGACGAAUGGUUCUUGUGCAAAUAGUGCGAGGAUUCGACGGUACCGGAAUAGAAAGCCACGGCUAACUACGUGCCAGCAGCCGCGGUAAUACGUAGGUGGCAAGCGUUGUCCGGAAUUAUUGGGCGUAAAGCGCGCGCAGGCGGAUUGGUCAGUCUGUCUUAAAAGUUCGGGGCUUAACCCCGUGAUGGGAUGGAAACUGCCAAUCUAGAGUAUCGGAGAGGAAAGUGGAAUUCCUAGUGUAGCGGUGAAAUGCGUAGAUAUUAGGAAGAACACCAGUGGCGAAGGCGACUUUCUGGACGAAAACUGACGCUGAGGCGCGAAAGCCAGGGGAGCGAACGGG
rnacentral:rRNA from 1 species